rnacentral:SRP_RNA from 12 species
AAGAGCCCGAUAUGGAAAAUGAAUUCCCUUCGGAGGAAGAGAUGAAAGAGUUUGAAGAAGCGGAGGAAAGGCACAGGGAGCAGUUUGAGCAGUUAGAACA